CGCAGCGCCGCCCGGACCCGGAGCCGGGCUGUAACGGCGCGAGGCGGGGCGCGCGGACGCGGGGCAGCGGGAAACGAGCGCGUGCCCGGCCUUCCCGCCGCUGCUGCUGCUGCGGCGGCACGGGGGGGGAGAAGGCGGGAAAGGAGGGCGGGAGCGCCGCCCUGGGCUCAGCGCACGCCCUUGUAAAUCACACCCUGGUGCAGAACUUCGCGUUCGCUUUUUGGCUGUUGCUUCGCUCACACGUGUCGUCUGGCGCUACUAGAGCUAGCAGAUGACAGCGUGACGGUUAGCCGCAUUUCCCGGCCUUCCGGGCAGCUGCUUCAGCAAAAGUAACAAAACCCGUAGCAACUCGCGUUGGCGGCAGCACUGGGGCGCGGCCUGUGGAAACCUCCGCACCUCCCGUACCGGUAAUGGCUGCAGGCGCGUCGGGGACAGAAGCGACGGGCAACGCUGGUGGAGCCGGGAGCGCAGGAGGGGCCGGCGCCGCCCGCGUGCCGUAUGGGAUCCCCGCAGCCGGGCUGAGGCAAGUUCUGGACGUUACUUUUGGUCAAUGCCUGUGAAAACCGUUCUCUCUAGAAAAUCCUGUGCAUGGAAUUACGGCAUCUCCAUAAUUGCUGUGAAAUCAUCUCAUCUACUUAUUCUGGAAGAAGCUGGAGGUGACAGCCACCUGCUGCCACAGAGCAACUCCGAGCCAGAACCACUCCUGAGCACCGGAUGGGAACUGUUAUCACGUAUUUGAAGACAGGUUGCUGAGAAGAGGUGGGACAGGGCCCAGGAACCCUGCAGGUGACACACGUACCUCCUGUACUGAGUACUGGCCUCAAAUGACUCAGCCACUUGGAAUGUCCACAAUCACAAGCAAGGCACCCACCUUUGUAGCUGAAGAAAGCUCAUAACGGAGAAAGACACGUGGUAGAGGGUUUCUUUCGCCGGGAGAUCCUCACCAAUUACAUUAUGCAAGCAGUCUGCACGUGAAGUUGUACCACCUGAUCAAGUUUGGCACCAGACAUGGGAAUUUUAGUAAUUUGAGGAUAAAAGUAUUGAAGAUGACUGAGGGGGAAGACUGAUUCAAAUCCAUCUCUGAAAGAAUCAAACUGUCUGGCAACACCUUCGUUAAGUGCCCAGAAUAUAACCAACUGCAAAGGAACAGCAAAAGAGUUACUUGAAAAAAAAAUGAAGUGCAGAAUGAUCGCAGCUGUACAGAAGACUAGAGCUACAGAAAAACACUCCAGAUGUCAAAUAAAGCAGCAGUUGUUUCACAAAUCCACUAUGCUGGAUUUCAAAUGAGGAGACGUCAGACUCCGAGACAAUGCUACGGAUUUCUACAAGGCACUCUGUUCCACCAUCCA
rnacentral:lncRNA from 1 species